CCUACGGGCGGCAGCAGUGGGGAAUAUUGCACAAUGGGCGCAAGCCUGAUGCAGCCAUGCCGCGUGUGUGAAGAAGGCCCUCGGGUUGUAAAGCACUUUCAGCGGGGAGGAAGGCGGUGAGGUUAAUAACCUCAUCGAUUGACGUUACCCGCAGAAGAAGCACCGGCUAACUCCGUGCCAGCAGCCGCGGUAAUACGGAGGGUGCAAGCGUUAAUCGGAAUUACUGGGCGUAAAGCGCACGCAGGCGGUCUGUCAAGUCGGAUGUGAAAUCCCCGGGCUCAACCUGGGAACUGCAUUCGAAACUGGCAGGCUAGAGUCUUGUAGAGGGGGGUAGAAUUCCAGGUGUAGCGGUGACAUGCGUAGAGAUCUGGAGGAAUACCGGUGGCGGAGGCGGCCCCCUGGACAAAGACUGACGCUCAGGUGCGAAAGCGUGGGGAGCAAACAGGAUUAGAUACCCGAGUAGUC
rnacentral:rRNA from 1 species